CCAAUAGCGUAUAUUAAAGUUGUUGCAGUUAAAAGGCUCGUAGUUGAAUUUCGGGAUUGACGUGAUGGUCGUGCCUUACGGGGUAUGAACUGUUGCUGUUGAUUUCUCACCUUCUGGAGAAACUUGAUGUCCUUAAUUGGGUGUCUUGCGGAUCCAGGACCUUUACCUUGAAAAAAUUAGAGUGUUUAAAGCAGGCAUUUUGCUCGAAUACAUUAGCAUGGAAUAAUAGAAUAGGACGGCAUGGUUCUAUUUUGUUGGUUUCUAGGAUCACCGUAAUGAUUAAUAGGGAUAGUUGGGGGCAUUAGUAUUCAAUUGUCAGAGGUGAAAUUCUUGGAUUUAUUGAAGACUAACUACUGCGAAAGCAUUUGCCAAGGAUGUUUUCAUUAAUCAAGAACGAAAGUUAGGGGAUCGAAGACGAUCAGAUACCGUCGUAGUCUUAACCAUAAACUAUGCCGACUAGGAAUCAGACGAUGUUAAUUUUUUAAUGACUCGUUUGGCACCUUACG
rnacentral:rRNA from 1 species